CUGGCCCCGCCCCACUCUCCUUCACUCCCGUUGCUGCAAAAGGCGCUUGUAUCUCGAGAUGGAGAAAAAUGAGCACAGAGUGGUGGGGUAACUUGUCCCAGGUCACACAGCCAGGAGAAGGUGGAGCCAGGCUUUGAGCCCAGGAAAAAAAGAUCCCUUCUCUAAUUCUUGCAGAAUAAUUAAACAAUUACAAAACAGGUGGGUUCUCUGUAUGGUACAAUUUAUGACUACUAUGCUGCCCUAACUUAUAAUUUUUUUUAGAAAUCUAUAUACAGUAUAGAAUGUUGACAUAUUAUAGUUGGUUAUCUAUACCCUCAGGUUUAGGAAAUUUAUUCUGUAAAGGGCUAGGGAGUAUUUUAGGCUUCACAGCGUUAAGGAUGGAGUUGUGUUCCCUCCAAAUACAUAUGUUGAAGCCUGCUAUGGUCUGAAUGUUUGUGUCCUACCAAAAUUCAUGUGGAAAUCCUGACCUCAAAAGUAAUGGUACUAGGAAGUGGGGGGGUUUGGGAGGUGAGAGGUCAUGAAGGUAAAGCCCUCAUGAAUAGGAUUAGCACCCUUAUAAGAGACCUCAGAGAGAUUCUUCACCUUUCCCACCAUGCGAGGGCACAACAAAAAGAUGGCCAUCUAUGAACUUGAAAGUGGGCUCUCACCAAACACUGAAUCUGCCAACGCUUAGACUUUUCAGCCUCCAAAAGGGUGAGAAAUAAGUUUCUGUUGUUUAUGAGCCACCCAGUCUACAGUGUAUCUGUUACAGCAACCUGAACAAAUUAAAUCCCUGAACCUCAAUGUGACCAUUUCAAGACAGGGCCUUUAAAGGGGUGAUUAUAGUCAAAUGAGGUCAUAAGGAUGGGGCCAUAAUCCAAAAUGACUGGUGUCCUUAUAAGAAAAGGAAGAGAUACCAAGGAUGAAUGCACAGAGGAAAGGUCAUGUAAAGACACAGCAAGAAGCCAAGGAGAGGAGACUCAGAAGAAACUAAACUUGCCACCACCUUGAUCUUGGACAUCAGCCCCCCAAACUGUGAGAGAAUAAAUUUCAGUUGUUUAUAUAAACAAAUAGAUGUGGCUGUGUUCCAAUACAAUUUUAUUUAUAACAACAGGUACAGGCUGGAUUUGGCCCAUGGGCCACAGUUUGCUGUCCCUUGAUCUACAGUAUUUAAAGAGGUAUGGUGCUUUGACUGAUUUCAAAUGUCAUGUAAGCCAAGAGCCACUGUGCACGGGAGCAAGGAAGAAGUGACAGGGACACACGAGUGGUUAUGGGGUGCUGCUCAGUGACACAAAUGAGGACUGCCUUUCUGGAAUGACUGAAGGGUAAAAAUGGGGACUGAGAAUAGACAAGGGGGCAGUAAUGAGGGGAAUCCCUAGAAUAAGGACCAGCAGAAAAGCAGAUCAGGGUAUAACCCAACAUCACUGUGUGCCUGGGUCACUGUGAAGUGUCACCACUAAUCUCUCAGUCUCCAACCUCUUCUCCCUAUUUGCCCAUUUUGUAAGUUGCCACAGUUAACGUCCCUGAAACGCCAAUUGACCAGGUCUGUAAGGACAGUCCCCUACCACCCAUUUUCCUGGUGCUAUGAGAGGCAAUGCAUGGUCACUGUUGAAUUGAGUCAGGGGGUCAGAGUUAGCAAGUGAGCAUAAAGGACUCAUGCAGAAUCCAAUACAGUUGAGGGGGUGUGAGAAGACAAGAAACAGAGAAGUUGAGUGAAGUGGAGAGUGAUUAAGGAAAGUCCUGCUGAGGCUGAAUGCAGCAGGAAGCAGAAAACCACGCCGUGGAUGCUGGCAGGUGGUGGACGUGGUUACCGGGCCAUUCCAACAGACUUACCUGACAUUCAAGGUAGAUUAAGAGGGAAGGAAUGGUGAUCAAACAGAUGACAGGAAAAAGAGGGAGGUGAAAGUGGCAUCACUGCUAACUGAGGGGCUUCUCUAGAGAGGGCAGAAUGCCUGGCAGCACGGGGGAAGGGGCACACCUGAGAGGAGGGAAGAAGAAAGCCAGUACAGUGUGUGUGUGGGGGGGUGUCGGGGAGAGGCCCAGCUGGCCAGUACAUUCCCUGCAGGGGCAGGACUCAUGCAGGAGAGAACAGGAGCUUCUGUGCAGGGAUUAUUCUUGAGGCAGCCCUGAUUUCCCCUGGGAUUUCUCCUAUGCUUCUAGAAACUACUGGCUUCCUGGACAGCCUUCUGCAUGAGCCUCCGGGCCUCCUUCCCAUCUCUUCACCUGGA